ACGAACGCUGGCGGCGCGCCUAACACAUGCAAGUCGAACGAGAGAGAAGGAGCUUGCUUCUUCGAUCGAGUGGCGAACGGGUGAGUAACGCGUGAGGAACCUGCCUCAAAGAGGGGGACAACAGUUGGAAACGACUGCUAAUACCGCAUAAGCCCACGGGUCGGCAUCGACCAGAGGGAAAAGGAGCAAUCCGCUUUGAGAUGGCCUCGCGUCCGAUUAGCUAGUUGGUGAGGUAAUGGCCCACCAAGGCGACGAUCGGUAGCCGGACUGAGAGGUUGAACGGCCACAUUGGGACUGAGACACGGCCCAGACUCCUACGGGAGGCAGCAGUGGGGAAUAUUGCACAAUGGGGGAAACCCUGAUGCAGCGACGCCGCGUGGAGGAAGAAGGUCUUCGGAUUGUAAACUCCUGUUGUUGAGGAAGAUAAUGACGGUACUCAACAAGGAAGUGACGGCUAACUACGUGCCAGCAGCCGCGGUAAAACGUAGGUCACAAGCGUUGUCCGGAAUUACUGGGUGUAAAGGGAGCGCAGGCGGGAAGACAAGUUGGAAGUGAAAUCCAUGGGCUCAACCCAUGAACUGCUUUCAAAACUGUUUUUCUUGAGUAGUGCAGAGGUAGGCGGAAUUCCCGGUGUAGCGGUGGAAUGCGUAGAUAUCGGGAGGAACACCAGUGGCGAAGGCGGCCUACUGGGCACCAACUGACGCUGAGGCUCGAAAGUGUGGGUAGCAAACAGGAUUAGAUACCCUGGUAGUCCACACCGUAAACGAUGAUUACUAGGUGUUGGAGGAUUGACCCCUUCAGUGCCGCAGUUAACACAAUAAGUAAUCCACCUGGGGAGUACGACCGCAAGGUUGAAACUCAAAGGAAUUGACGGAA
rnacentral:rRNA from 1 species